GAUGAAGAACGCAGCGAAAUGCGAUAAGUAAUGUGAAUUGCAGAAUUCAGUGAAUCAUCGAAUCUUUGAACGCACAUUGCGCCCGCCAGCAUUCUGGCGGGCAUGCCUGUUCGAGCGUCAUUUCAACCCUCAAGCUCUGCUUGGUGUUGGGGCCCUACGGUUGACGUAGGCCCUUAAAGGUAGUGGCGGACCCUCUCGGAGCCUCCUUUGCGUAGUAACUAACGUCUCGCAUUGGGAUUCGGAGGGACUCUUGCCGUAAAACCCCCAAAUUUUCUAAUGGUUGACCUCGGAUCAGGUAGGAAUACUCGCUGAACUUAAGCAUAUCAAUAAGCGGAGGA
rnacentral:misc_RNA from 1 species